rnacentral:rRNA from 1 species
UACGGAGGGUGCGAGCGUUGUCCGGAAUCACUGGGCGUAAAGGGCGCGUAGGUGGCGCGGCAGGUCAACGGUGAAAGCUCGACGCUCAACGUCGAGUCGGCCGUCGAUACUGCCGCGCUGGAGCACUGUAGAGGCUCAUGGAAUUCCGGGUGUAGCGGUGGAAUGCGUAGAGAUCCGGAAGAACACCGGUGGCGAAGGCGGUGAGCUGGGCAGUAGCUGACACUGAGGCGCGACAGCGUGGGGAGCAAACAGG